AUGAACGCUGGCGGCGUGCCUCAUCCAUGCCAGUCGCGCGAACAGACGAGGAGCUUGCUCCUCUGACGUUAGCGGCGGACGGGUGAGUAACACGUGGAUAACCUACCUAUAAGACUGGGAUAACUUCGGGAAACCGGAGCUAAUACCGGAUAAUAUAUUGAACCGCAUGGUUCAAUAGUGAAAGACGGUUUUGCUGUCACUUAUAGAUGGAUCCGCGCCGCAUUAGCUAGUUGGUAAGGUAACGGCUUACCAAGGCGACGAUGCGUAGCCGACCUGAGAGGGUGAUCGGCCACACUGGAACUGAGACACGGUCCAGACUCCUACGGGAGGCAGCAGUAGGGAAUCUUCCGCAAUGGGCGAAAGCCUGACGGAGCAACGCCGCGUGAGUGAUGAAGGUCUUCGGAUCGUAAAACUCUGUUAUUAGGGAAGAACAAAUGUGUAAGUAACUAUGCACGUCUUGACGGUACCUAAUCAGAAAGCCACGGCUAACUACGU
rnacentral:rRNA from 1 species